UGCCUCUGGGAGGGGAAAGGAGGGGUGGGAGGGAUGUUGCUGUGGGGAUUUUGGUAUUUGGAUCUCAUUUCAUUCAUUCAGGUGCCCGUGUCUGUGUGGUCUUGAACACCUGAGGUCCUGGAGUCAGCUGAGUCUGUGCCAGCAGAGCAUCUCUGUGCCUUUGCCAUGGCAGGUGUUGGCCACCCUGAACAACCACCAGCAUGUGUGUGUCUAACCACAACCACAUCCCAGGGGAGUGAGCUUCUCCUGUGCUUCCUCAGGGAAAGAUAUUCCUUAACUCAGCAGCCAAAUUCCUCCUGCAGUUGUGCUCUUAAUGCUCUUGGGAGGGAUGAAAGUGGAAGUGCUGUGCCUGAUGCCAGGGCCCACAAAGCUUCACUUUUGAUCCCUGCUGCUGCUGGUGGCACCUCCUCCCCAUGUGUGUCCUGCUUUGCUGGGAGAGCGAAGGAAUUGUCCUCGGGAAGCUGUGAGACUGUGUUACCUCUG